rnacentral:rRNA from 1 species
CAUGCAAGUCGAACGAAGUAGCAAUACUUAGUGGCAGACGGGUGAGUAACAUGUGGGUAUCUACCCUUUGGCCUGGAAUAACACGAGGAAACUUGUGCUAAUACCGGAUAAGUCUUUACGGAGAAAGCUUUAUGCACCAUUGGAUGAGCCCGCACUUGAUUAGUUUGUUGGUAGGGUAAUGGCCUACCAAGACUAUGAUCAAUAGCUGAUUUGAGAGGAUGAUCAGCCACAUUGGGACUGAGACACGGCCCAAACUCCUACGGGAGGCAGCAGUGGGGAAUCUUGCACAAUGGAGGAAACUCUGAUGCAGCGAUGCCGCGUGAGUGAAGAAGGCCCUUGGGUUGUAAAGCUCUUUCGUCGGGGAAGAAAAUGACUGUACCCGAAUAAGAAGGUCCGGCUAACUUCGUGCCAGCAGCCGCGGUAAUACGAAGGGACCUAGCGUAGUUCGGAAUUACUGGGCUUAAAGAGUUCGUAGGUGGUUGAAAAAGUUGGUGGUGAAAUCCCAGAGCUUAACUCUGGAACUGCCAUCAAAACUUUUCAGCUAGAGUAUGAUAGAGGAAAGCAGAAUUUCUAGUGUAGAGGUGAAAUUCGUAGAUAUUAGAAAGAAUACCAAUUGCGAAGGCAGCUUUCUGGAUCAUUACUGACACUGAGGAACGAAAGCAUGGGUAGCGAAGAGGAUUAGAUACUCUCGUAGUCCAUGCCGUAAACGAUGUGUGUUAGACGUUGGAAAUUUAUUUUCAGUGUCGCAGCGAAAGCGAUAAACACACCGCCUGGGGAGUACGACCGCAAGGUUAAAACUCAAAUGAAUUGACGGGGACCCGCACAAGUAGU